UUGCCACGCCCGCUCAGAAACUUAAAGGAAUUGACGGGGGCCCGCACAAGCGGAGGAGCAUGUGGUUUAAUUCGAUGAUACGCGAGGAACCUUACCUGGGCUCGAACGUAAGAUGACUGUAGGUGAAAGCUUACAUCUCUUCGGAGCAUUUUACGAGGUGCUGCAUGGUUGUCGUCAGCUCGUGCCGUGAGGUGUCGGGUUAAGUCCCAUAACGAGCGCAACCCCUACCUUUAGUUGCCAUCAGGUAAUGCUGGGGACUCUAAUGAAACUGCCUACGCAAGUAGUGAGGAAGGUGGGGAUGACGUCAAAUCAGCACGGCCCUUACGUCCAGGGCUACACACGUGCUACAAUGGUCGGUACAAAGGGUUGCCAAGCCGCGAGGUGGAGCUAAUCCCAUAAAACCGAUCGUAGUCCGGAUCGCAGUCUGCAACUCGACUGCGUGAAGUCGGAAUCGCUAGUAAUCGUGAAUCAGAAUGUCACGGUGAAUACGUUCCCGGGCCUU
rnacentral:rRNA from 1 species